rnacentral:lncRNA from 1 species
UGGGAUCCAAGAUGCAUCUGUGAUCUACACCACAGCUUAUGGCAAUGGUGGAUCCCUGACCCAAUAAGUGAGGCCAGAGAUCGAACCCACAUCCUCAUGGAUACCAGUCAGAUUCAUUUCUACUGUGUCACAAUGGGAACUCCAUACAAAAAUCCAUUUUAAAAUAUUGACCUUAUACCUAGGUACAUUGCCAAAUCUACUGAUUAUUUCUAAGUGUUUGUCUUUGAUCCUUAUGGUUUUCCACAUACACAAUCAUACAUACCAUCUAUAAGUAAUGAGAGCAUAUUUUGCAUAUGGGGAGAAAACCAUAUAUAUUUUCCUUUUUUUUUUCCUACUUUAGAGAAUCCCAUUAAAUGAUUUGUGAAGUGUGAAACAGUGUUCAUUCCUAGAAUAAAUGUGAUUUGGUCAUGAUAUAUUAUCCUCUUUAUGUAUCUUUAUUCUGCUUAUUAAUGGUUAAUUGAUGAUAUUUGUGACAGAUGCAUGCUGUUUUAUUUCUUUCCUUUAAUGUCUGUUUAAGAAUUUGGUAUCACAUUUAUGCUAUCCUCAUGAUUGUUCUUACUUUUUGUAUGCUCUGGAAAAUGUGCAAAUUUUUAAAAUUUAUCCUUUAUAUUUUAAUAGACUCCCUAUUGAAGGUACGUUAUCCUGAACUUUCCCUUUAGAGAAUGUUUGCAAUUAUGGAUUCAUUGCUUUAGCAGAUAUAUGAUCAUUUGUUUUCUAUUUCUUCAUGUGCCAGUUUUAUUAAAAUAUUUUUCAGUGAUUCACUUUUUAUAUUUACCAUUCACUUUUCCUUUUGCUUAUAAUUAGAUUUCCUAAGGAUUCAUCAAUUUUGAUAAUUUUUCAAAGAACAAAUUUGCCUUUAUUUCUCUGUCUUAUUUAAAUUGAUUCAUUCCUUUAUUUGCUGUUAUUUUUGCCUUCUUUUAAUUUUGUCUUAAAUUCCUUUUAUUUUUCUAGCUCACUGCGUUGGAAGCUUAGAUUAUUCAUUUUAAAAUUCUUUUUUUCUAAUAUAUGCAUUUAAAGCUAUUUAUUUUUAGCACUACUUCAGUUGCAGUCUACAAGUUUUGAUAUGUUGUAUUUUCUUUAUUGUUUACCUGUUCAGUAUUUUUAAUAUCAAUUUAUUUUUUCUUCAAAAUAUGGAUUGUAUAGAAACAUAUCACUCAAUUUUCAAACAUUUUCUAGAACAUUUUAUGUAAUUGAGAUCUAAUUAAAGUCAGCAGUGGUCAGAGAACAUAUCCUAUAUAAAUUUCAUUCUUUGAAAACUGUCAAAAUUUUGUUUAUAGUCAGUAUAUGAUUUGUUCUGGAAAAUAUCCCAUGUACAUUUGGAAAGAGGUCAUCUUUACUUUAGAUGUGUAUGAACUUUAGUAUUUUUUCAGCCUUGCGUAAUCUCUGAAAUCUCUGGUAGUUACUCUGGAAAUGUAGUGGCUUUGUUAAGCCUCUUACAGUUUUGUCAUAUAUAUAUAUAUGGGACCAACCAAGGAACUGCAAGAAUUUUUGUACAGAUUUAUGGGGUUGCUUUUCUAUAAAUCCCCCUUCUAUGCAUCUUCACCCCAGAGAGGGCCCAAAACAGCAAGGCCGCUCUUGACUUCCAGUCCCUGUUUUCUUCAUUCAGAAAGAUAGUUGUGAUUUGAAAUCUCUGUCUCACUCUUAUUUCCUCUUCCAUGAUUGCGUGAAAAAUGCUCUCCUGAAUAAAGCCUGGAUUAAUAUGGGGAAUCACUGACUUUGUUCCUCUUCUUCCUUUGCUUCACUGAUUGUAGACUUGCCAGUUGUCAUCCACAUUUUGUAAGCCAUUGUUUCUGUAUUAUGAUGACCUUUUACAAUUAAUAACAGUAAGAACUUAAGUAUAAAUCCAGUUACUCCAUAUUGGUCAUAAUUGGAAAGAUGUGCAAAUUUUAAGGUAGGAAUAUAAUAACACGCUUAUAUGCUGACAGGAAUGAUCCAAAGAGCCAUACAUAUUAAUGAUUUAGGAAAAAGAGAAAGUUUUCCAAUUCAAUAGCAAACUUUGAAUAAGUGAGAAAAUUUGAGAUGUUUUGUACAGGUAAAGUGGUUAGCCUUAGCUAUGAGAAAGGGAAGUUCAAAAAGAGUAAAUGGACUGAACAUAGAUAGAUGGGUGGUGGGAGAUUCAGUGAAAUAAGCAACAAUGUCAUCAGUUUAAUGUGAUGAUGGGAAAGGCAGUACUGAUAGUUGAUUUAAGUGGAUAAAUUACAAAAUAAUUAACUAAGAAAGUGGAAAUGUGAAUGCUUAAAUUCAAUACAGUCUAAUUUCCAGCAACAUAAGGACUUGUUUGAGGUUUUUGUCAAGAACCUAAGAUGAUAGCAAUUCACAUGUUUUCUCAUUUAUGUUCACCUGUGUAAGGACAUAUGAGGAGAGAUUAGAAUUUUAGGUUUAACUUGUUUUGUGAUCUAAGCCAGUAUUAGAAGCUAGAUUUGAUUUAAGAGCUUUAUGUGAGGGGUGACAAUGAUGUUUUUCCUUGUGGUGUAAGGUGGGCAAGGGGAAGUAAGAGUAUGGAGCAGGUCAUAGACAGUAAAAACCAAAAAGGAUCUAAGGAUUGAAGAAGAUCCAGAUUUAUUUUUAGGAUUGUUUGAAUUGGGCUCUUAGAGGAAAUGAUCUGGAAAAUAGGAGGUAAUGAUCAGACACUUUAAAUUGAGAUAAUACACACUCUGUAUCUUUCCUAUCUCUUGACAGUCACAGUAGCGCACUGUGUAUACAAUCAACUUAAAACAUUGUUGUGUACAUGUGUGUGGGUGUGUGUGUACAUAAAAAUUUAAUUAAAGGCAAAGUGUUAUAGCUGGGCAAAUGUGGUAGAGAGCAAGAACAGCCCAAAUGUAAUGGCAUAUGAUUGCCAAAUUGAACUAAUUUAGCAGAAGCAGGAUUUAUGAACCAUACAUGAUUAUAAGGACAUAUGCCUUUUGGGAAUUUUUAGAAAGCCUGUGGAGGGCAAUGCAUUUUUCAAUAUCGUUGCAAUAAAAGUUUGAGGACUUUUUUUUUUAAUUUCAAAGAUCAAUUUAGGUGAUACCUAGGGUAUAUUGAAGAUCCAACUGAUCCAUCAAAGUGAGUUAUAGUCCUUUUUAGCAAUAAAGCCCAGAUGACAAAAUGCAGAUAUAAUUAAAAUAGUGCUUUAUACAUAGUAAUUACAUUAUCUGUUUUCUUAAAAAAACUCAUUGAGAAGGUAGCUUAGCUUCACCUACUAUCCUGCUUAUGUCUUCACUAACCCAAAACAUAAAAUCAGUGCUGAAUAAUACCAAGGGAAGUUGUCAUCAUGAAUAGUUUGGCCAGAUUUUAUUAAAUAUAUUUUCAAAAUUUCAUAAUUCACUAAGAUAUUUUCAUGAUGUUUUUACAUUAAUGUUCUUUGUUAUAACAUUAUUGUUCUUUGUUGUUUGUGUAACGUAGGAAGAUACCUUUCCCAGCUUACUUGACAUGUCAUUAAAAUACCAUCCAUGCAUGGACUCCUAUUUCUAUUCUGUGGUUCCAUUUAUCUCUUCCUGUACCUUACGAUACUGUCUUAAUUAGAAUAGGUUUAUAAAGGUCUUGGCAUAUUAUAGGGCAAGUCUAACUCCCUAUUCUUUAUUUUAAAAGAGUAAUAUUUUGCCAAGAAAAACUGAAAUGCCUAUCAAAGAUUACACAUACAAAAUUUUUAAGAAAGAUGCUAUGUACAAUAGCAAAAAACAAAUAACCUAAUUGAACAAAAAUGGAUGAAGAAUAGGCUGGAAAAUUCAGUCAUACAGCGGUCAGAAUGAAUGAAUGAGAGACAGUGCAAACAGGAUGGUUAACUUUAUGUGUCAUCUUGGCUUAGCCAUGUUGGCCAGUUAUUUUGUCAAACACGAUGAUAGAUGUUAUUGUGAAGGUGUUUUGUAUCUACGGUUAGUGUUCAAAAUCAACUUAUUUUAAGUGAAGCAUAUUAACCCCCACAAGGUGAAUGAGCCUUGUUCAAUCAGUUAAAGCCCUUAAAAGCAAAUACUGGAAUUUUCCAGAGAAGGAAUUAUAUCUUAAAGCUAUAACAUAGAAGUUCUGCCUGAGUUCCCAGCCUGCUGGCUGCCCUAUGAAUUUGACUCAGUACUGCAGAUUUGAGCACUAUCUCAAUUUCUGGCCAGCUGACUUGCCUUACAGAUUUCAGACUUGUCUGCCCCCAUAAUCACAGGAGCCAGUUCCUUAAAAUAAAUCUCUCCCUCUUUAUAUAGACAUCCUAUUGGUUUUGUGUCUCUGGAGAACACUACAAAAAUAUAAAAAUCUUGCAAUAUAUGUUAAUAAAAAGGGGAAAAAGGACAGAAUUUAAUGAGUACAAAAGAAUAAAUGCAAAUGAUUAAUAAACUUUAAAAAAUAUGCCCCAUUAAUGGCUAAAAAAUAAUUAUUUCCAUACAUUUGAAGGAUAAAACAAAAUAAAACAUGACCAAUGUCAUCUACUAGUGUUAGGAAAUCAGGAUAAUAGGGAGAAGAAAUAUUUCCUUAAAUUUCUAGGGAUACUGUGAAUUAUUAUAAUUUUAUUGGGAAUAAUUUUGAAAUGAUCUAUUAACAUUAGAAACUGACUUAUCCUUUGAACCAUUGAUUCCAAUCCUGAAAAUAUAUGGAAAAAAAAAGACAAUGAUUGAAUAAAGUAAGUUUACUCCGUCUACUCUGUUAUUUUAUGCCACUGUUAAAGACACCUGCAAAGUGGUGACUAGAGUGGUGAAACAAGUGAUAGAUUAUACAUGUUUUUUUUUAAUACAAGUGUAUAUUUUAGAUAAGUAGCAGUAAUGAAAUAAUUUGAAGAGUUCCCAUUGUGGCUCAGCAGAAACGAAACUGACUAGUAUCUAUGAGGAUGCAAGUUCCAUCCCUGGCCUUGCUCAGUGCAUUAAGGAUCUGGCAUUGCCAUGAGCUGUGGUGUAGGUCACAGAUGCAGCUCAGAUCUAGAGUUGCUAUGGCUGUGGCACAGGCCAGAGGCUACAGCUCCAAUUAGACUUCUAGCCUGGGAACCUCCAUACGCCAUGG